rnacentral:rRNA from 2 species
GACGAACGCUGGCGGCGUGCCUAAUACAUGCAAGUCGAACGAACUCUGGUAUUGAUUGGUGCUUGCAUCAUGAUUUACAUUUGAGUGAGUGGCGAACUGGUGAGUAACACGUGGGAAACCUGCCCAGAAGCGGGGGAUAACACCUGGAAACAGAUGCUAAUACCGCAUAACAACUUGGACCGCAUGGUCCGAGUUUGAAAGAUGGCUUCGGCUAUCACUUUUGGAUGGUCCCGCGGCGUAUUAGCUAGAUGGUGGGGUAACGGCUCACCAUGGCAAUGAUACGUAGCCGACCUGAGAGGGUAAUCGGCCACAUUGGGACUGAGACACGGCCCAAACUCCUACGGGAGGCAGCAGUAGGGAAUCUUCCACAAUGGACGAAAGUCUGAUGGAGCAACGCCGCGUGAGUGAAGAAGGGUUUCGGCUCGUAAAACUCUGUUGUUAAAGAAGAACAUAUCUGAGAGUAACUGUUCAGGUAUUGACGGUAUUUAACCAGAAAGCCACGGCUAACUACGUGCCAGCAGCCGCGGUAAUACGUAGGUGGCAAGCGUUGUCCGGAUUUAUUGGGCGUAAAGCGAGCGCAGGCGGUUUUUUAAGUCUGGUGUGAAAGCCUUCGGCUCAACCGAAGAAGUGCAUCGGAAACUGGGAAACUUGAGUGCAGAAGAGGACAGUGGAACUCCAUGUGUAGCGGUGAAAUGCGUAGAUAUAUGGAAGAACACCAGUGGCGAAGGCGGCUGUCUGGUCUGUAACUGACGCUGAGGCUCGAAAGUAUGGGUAGCAAACAGGAUUAGAUACCCUGGUAGUCCAUACCGUAAACGAUGAAUGCUAAGUGUUGGAGGGUUUCCGCCCUUCAGUGCUGCAGCUAACGCAUUAAGCAUUCCGCCUGGGGAGUACGGCCGCAAGGCUGAAACUCAAAGGAAUUGACGGGGGCCCGCACAAGCGGUGGAGCAUGUGGUUUAAUUCGAAGCUACGCGAAGAACCUUACCAGGUCUUGACAUACUAUGCAAAUCUAAGAGAUUAGACGUUCCCUUCGGGGACAUGGAUACAGGUGGUGCAUGGUUGUCGUCGGCUCGUGUCGUGAGAUGUUGGGUUAAGUCCCGCAACGAGCGCAACCCUUAUUAUCAGUUGCCAGCAUUAAGUUGGGCACUCUGGUGAGACUGCCGGUGACAAACCGGAGGAAGGUGGGGAUGACGUCAAAUCAUCAUGCCCCUUAUGGCCUGGGCUACACACGUGCUACAAUGGAUGGUACAACGAGUUGCGAACUCGCGAGAGUAAGCUAAUCUCUUAAAGCCAUUCUCAGUUCGGAUUGUAGGCUGCAACUCGCCUACAUGAAGUCGGAAUCGCUAGUAAUCGCGGAUCAGCAUGCCGCGGUGAAUACGUUCCCGGGCCUUGUACACACCGCCCGUCACACCAUGAGAGUUUGUAACACCCAAAGUCGGUGGGGUAACCUUUUAGGAACCAGCCGCCUAAGGUGGGACAGAUGAUUAGGGUG